rnacentral:rRNA from 2 species
CCAGAAGUAGGUAGCUUAACCGCAAGGGGGGCGCUUACCACGGUAGGAUUCGUGACUGGGGUGAAGUCGUAACAAGGUAGCCGUAUCGGAAGGUGCGGCUGGAUCACCUCCUUUCUAG